rnacentral:rRNA from 1 species
GCGCAUGCAGGUGGUUUGUUAAGUCAGAUGUGAAAGCCCGGGGCUCAACCUCGGAAUUGCAUUUGAAACUGGCAAACUAGAGUACUGUAGAGGGGGGUAGAAUUUCAGGUGUAGCGGUGAAAUGCGUAGAGAUCUGAAGGAAUACCGGUGGCGAAGGCGGCCCCCCUGGACAGAUACUGACACUCAGAUGCGAAAGCGUGGGGAGCAAACAGGAUUAGAUACCCUGGUAG